CGAACGCUGGCGGCGUGCUUAACACAUGCACAUCGAACGGUGAAGCGCCUUCCUUUUUGGUGGGUGUGGAUGAGUGGCGAACGGGUGAGUAACACGUGAGUAACCUGCCCCCUUCUUCUGGAUAACCGCAUGAAAGUGUGGCUAAUACGGGAUAUUCUGGGUCUGUCGCAUGAUGGGUCUGGGAAAGAUAUUGUUUCGGUGGGGGAUGGGCUCGCGGCCUAUCAGCUUGUUGGUGGGGUGAUGGCCUACCAAGGCGGUGACGGGUAGCCGGCAUGAGAGGGUGGACGGUCACACUGGGACUGAGACACGGCCCAGACUCCUACGGGAGGCAGCAGUGGGGAAUAUUGCACAAUGGGCGCAAGCCUGAUGCAGCGACGCCGCGUGAGGGAUGGAGGCCUUCGGGUUGUGAACCUCUUUCGCCAGUGAAGCAGGCCUGCCUCGUUUGUGGGUGGGUUGACGGUAGCUGGAUAAGAAGCGCCGGCUAACUACGUG
rnacentral:rRNA from 1 species